CCUACGGGUGGCAGCAGUGGGGAAUAUUGGGCAAUGGAGGAAACUCUGACCCAGCAACGCCGCGUGAAUGAUGAAGGUCUUCGGAUUGUAAAGUUCUUUUCUAAGGGAAGAAGAAAGUGACGGUACCUUAGGAAUAAGCCUCGGCUAACUACGUGCCAGCAGCCGCGGUAAUACGUAGGAGGCAAGCGUUAUCCGGAUUGACUGGGCGUAAAGGGUGCGUAGGUGGUUUGACAAGUGUGUAGCGAAACUCCGGGGCUCAACCUCGGAGCUGCAAGCGAAACUGUGGGACUUGAGUGCAGGAGAGGCAAGUGGAAUUCCUAGUGUAGCGGUGGAAUGCGUAGAUAUUAGGAGGAACACCAGUGGCGAAGGCGGUUUGCUGGACUGUAACUGACGCUGAGGCACGAAAGCGUGGGGAGCAAACAGGAUUAGAUACCCCUGUAGUC
rnacentral:rRNA from 1 species